UGAUAUUUUUCCUAAUCAUAUAUUUUUAUAUUUCAGGGUGCCCUUUUGGUGAAUAUAGCUAGAGGUGGUCUAAUUGAUUAUAAGGCAGUGUUCAACCACCUUGAAUCAGGCCAUCUAGGAGGGUUAGGCACUGAUGUUGCAUGGACUGAGCCAUUUGAUCCUAAUGAUCAAAUAUUGAAAUUUAAGAAUGUUAUCAUGACUCCUCAUGUUGCAGGUGUUACAGAAUAUUCUUAUAGGACCAUGGCUAAGGUACAUUUUGCUAUAAAUAUCUAUACUUUUUUCCUCUAUAAAUGUUAAGAUAAAGAGAGAUCAAAGGAACUUAGUCUGAUAUUUUUCUUGGUUGUUGUUAUAUUGCAGGCUGUUGGUGAUGUUGUUCUUCAACUUCAUAAUAGGCUUCCUUUGACAGGGAUAGAGUUGGUCAAUUGAACUAGUGUAAGGGCAUCAGUACCAUUUCUAAAUAAUCCAAAUCAUUUAUUUAUUAAUUAUCAUUGACUGUUAAAUGAAUCCUUUAUCGACGAAGUACUGGUCAAUUCUACUAUACCAUGCUCGAGGAGCUUGCUUCAAGCCAUAUAGAGCCUUCUUCAAUCGUAGCACUUUGUUUUCGUUGCCCUUGCUCAUGAACCCUUCUGGCUGCUCCACAUAGAUCUCUUCUUGAAGUACUCCAUUGAGGAAUGCAGACUUGACAUCUAGCUGGUAAAUGCUCCAUCCUCUUUUUGCUGCAAGAGCUAUUAGAGCUCUUAUAGUAUCUAGACGAGCAACUGGAGCAAAUGUCUCAUUAUAGUCGAUUCCUGGUUGUUGGGAGUAGCCCUUGGCUACUAAUCUCGCCUUGUGCUUCUGUAUAGUGCCAUCAGGAUUGAGCUUUGUUUUAUACACCCAUUUUACUCCGAUGAUGUCUUUAUCUUUUGGACAAUCUACUAGCUCCCACGUGUUGUUUUUCUCGAUCAUCUUUAUCUCUUCUUCCAUUGCCUUGACCCAUACUUCUUGCCUUGAUGCUUCUUCAAAGCUUCCAGGUUCAACUAUGGCCAAGUUGCAUGUCUCAUAUAUAUCUACUAAGGAUCUUACUCGUCUCGGAGAAGAUUCUGGUGAAGAUUGUUCAUGUGGGAGUGUAGUUGGCGUACCUGGAUCUUCUGUUGCUUCUUCUACUUCCCCAGUUACUUGUGGUUGUUGUGUUGGUAUGGAGAUGUUGUGUCUCUCAAUCUUGCCUUCAUUCCAGUUCCAAGCGUCACUUUCAUCAACUUCAACAUCUCGACUGAUGAUAAGUUUCUUCGUUUCUAGAUUGUAUAUGCGAUAGCCUUUUGACUGUGUGCUAUAUCCCAAGAAGAUGCCUCUUAUCGUCUUGUCUUCUAGUUUGUGUCUCUUUUCUUUUGGGACAUGUAUAUAACAGAUAGAUCCAAAAACUCUUAGAUGUUUAGCUGAUGGCUUCCUACCGCUCCAAGCUUCUAUAGGAGUUUUACCUUCGACUGCCUUUGUUGGACAUCUAUUCAUUAUGUAGACAGCUGUGUAAACUGCUUCGGCCCAAAAGGUGUUUGGCAAACCUUUCUCCUUGAGCAUCGAUCUAGCCAUCUCCAUGACCGUGCGAUUUUUCCUUUCAGACACCCCAUUUUGUUGUGGAGUGUAAGCAACUGUGAGUUGACGCUCUAUGCCUUCAUCCUCACAAAAUUUAUCAAAUUCGUGAGAGUUGUACUCUUUGCCACGAUCGCUUCUGAGUACUUUUAUAUGUUUCCCGCUUUGCUUCUCGACAAAGGCCUUGAACUUCUUGAAUAUUCCAAAGACUUCUGAUUUUUCUUUUAUAAAAUAGACCCAUGUCAUUCUAGAAAAGUCAUCAAUGAAGAGGAUGAAAUACCUGUUAUUAGUGAGGGAUGGCGUCCUCAUUGGUCCACAUACGUCAGUAUGGAUGAGCUCCAACAAGCGUUUUGCUCUCCAAGAUUUCCCACUUGAAAAAGGUAGUCUAUGUUGCUUCCCAAGUAGACAUCCUUCACAAGCUCCUUCAUUCUCUUGGAUGCAUGGAAGAUCCUUCAUCAUUCUUUUAUGAUAUAAUAGCUUUAAGGCUUGGUUAUUAAGAUGACCAAAUCUUCGAUGCCAUAGCCAUGAUUCAUCAACUUGAACCUUCAUAGCGAUGUUAGUAGCAUAUUUCCAAGUUAUUGGAAAACUUCUAUUUCUUUUCUCCAUUUUAACUUGGGCUAUUUCAAACUUUCUAUUAUUGUCAUAUAUAUUGCAUGUAUCUCCCUCAAAGUGGAGAGAGUAACCUUUUUCCAUCAUUUGGCCAAUACUCAAGAGAUUUUCUUUAAGGUUAGGAACUAGUAAGACAUCUUUGAUAAGUCGCGUACCUGAUUGUGUCUCCACCAUGACAGUGCCUUUGCCUUUAGACUCAACCAUGGUGCCAUUACCUAAUCGAACUUGCACUCUGACAGACUCAUCAAUAUCUUUGAAAAUGCUCCCGUCCUUAGCCAUGUGGUUACUACAACCACUAUCCAAGUACCAGUUUUCUUCUUUAUCACGACUACAGACUUGGUUGGCAUAGAAUAGUUGUUGGUCAUGUUUGCAUUCUUCAGUGAAAUUGGCCUGAUGAUUAUUUUUGUUGCGACAAUUUUGCUCUGAGUGCCCAAAUCUUUUGCAAUAUUGGCAUUGUAUCUUUCCUCGAUAUCGACAAUAUUUUUCUGAAUGGCCUGACUUCUGGCAUAUGCCGCAAGGAAGAUAUUUUGCUUGAUUGUUUCUAGAGAAAUCUUUAGAAAUCUCUUUGUUUCUAGAAUGUUCCGCACCAAUAUUAUUUCUUCUUUGAUAUUCUUUAUUCUGAGACCUUAGUCUGAGCUUUGAUUGAAAGGCAUUUUCUAGUGAACCUUCAUCAUGCCUACUCAAUCUUUGCUCAUAAGCUUCUAGAGAGCCCAUUAGUUCUGUUACUGAUAGAGUAGACAAAUCUUUGGUUUGCUCAAUCGUAGUAACUAUUGAGUCAUAUUUUUGGGGAAUUGAAAUCAGAAUUUUCUCAACAAUUCUUUUGUCAAGAAUAUUUUCCCCAUAGGCUUUCAUUUGAUUGACUAUUUCUUUUAUUUUAGAAUAAUAGUCUUUUAUGGUCUCAGACUCUUUCAUCUUAAGUAAUUCAAACUCACGCCUAAGAGUUUGAAGUUUAAUGGUGCGUACCUUAUCACUGCCAUGAAACUCCUCCUUUAGUGUAUCCCAUGCUUCUUUGGCACUUGUAGCUCCCAUUAUUCUUGGAAAGAUAGUUUCCGCCAAGGCUUGUUGUAGAAUAAAUAACGCUUUUGCAUCCUUUUGCACAUUCUCUUUCAACUCCUUUUUCUGAGCCACGGUAAGAGUUGAAGUAUUCUCUGGAGUAGUGAAUCCUUCUUCUACAAUAUCCCACAAAUCUUGGGACCGGAAGAAAGUAGUCAUUUUUGUAUUCCAAAAAUCAUAGUUUUCUCCAGUGAAAAUUGGGAUAGGAAUUGAUGAUGAUUGAAUAGUGCUAGCCAUAGCUCAAAGUGUAUAAAUAUGGUUUAGUUUGGAUGUGAGAUUCUUGGAGAUAGUUGGAAAUGGAUAGAGUAAUAUUCUACGCCCAGUGUAUGACCAAACGUAGCUCUGAUGCCACUGAUAGUAUUUUAGAAAUGGAAGUUAUAGUAGUGAAAAUAGAAGUGGAGAAGCUUUGGAGCUACACAACUUAGAAUAAUUUGCUUCUUAUUUGGAUGCUUUACAAAUGAAGGGUGAGUGCCUAUUUAUAGGCUUUCUACAACACUUAUGAAUUUCUAGAUGGUUCCAUAAGUAUCUAGUAUACAUUUUUCUCAAGAUUUCUAGAUACUUCUUUAAUUAUAAUACUAAAUGCCUAUAAUAGAAUAUACUAGAAGCUUAGGAUAAUUCUAGAUAUUAUGGUACAAUCAUCACUACUUAUUUCUACACAAGUGUGGAAGCUUCUAGAAAGUGUGCAUCAAUAUUUUAUCACUAUGCUUGAAGGAAAUGAACUCACAAGGCCCCAGUCCCAUUGCUAGAAGCAACAAUUUUUCCACUGCAACAUGGAGCUUCUUCUCAGUAAUCCUGCACUCUACUGGUAUAUUCCUGUUCAAGUGCGGAAACUCCACCGUGGUGGUUCUAGUGAGUAGGAUGGCUUGUGUUUGUCCCACUAGCGUCUUUUUUCUUCAGUAAAAUGAGUCGGGCCCAUUAGACCAGAAUGAGAUUCAUGUCUAUUUUAUGAUUGAGGGUCAUUGUUCAGCUCUAAACAUGCUCCAAUCUUCUCCUUUCAGAAGCACCUUUUAUUCACAUCACCCUUUUUUUCAUUUCUCACUACACACUUCCAGAAACAUGAGUCUGGAAGUAUAUUUGGGAAAUAUAAUAGUGGUAAAAGAAACCACCAUAACUCUCAUUUUUAAAACCAAUUCCAUAACGUCAGAAAAGGGUCUCAACUAGUGUAAUCUUGUUUUGCCUUUCUUCUUUCAGCCCUUCCUGAGAGUUCUUUGGUGGAAUACAGAAACCAACUCUGGCAUUUAUCCAUCUUUAUGAAUACCAGUGCCUGGUUGUGAAUGUAGUGGCAUUCUUGAUUACACCUACCAUUCCUAGUUGCUGCCUCUCUCCUCUCCGUCAACAUCAUAUAAUCUCCUCCGUCCACCUUCGCCCUAUAGCUUCCGUUCCAUUAUCCAUGCACAUUAUUACCAUCUACAGGCUCCCUAGGUAUGUAAUAAUAUUAACUACAAAAUAUGGUAGUAAAGUUCAGUAGCAGUGAUCCAAUCACAAAUAAAAUGGAAGAAAAGUCUAGACACAGAUGUAGGUAGAAAAGGAAAAUCAGAGUUGCAAGUUUAGUCUCUGCCCUAUGGCCAAGUUCAAUAUGUUGUGGUUUAUAUUGAUUGCUUCUAAGUUAUAACUUUUGAUGAUAUUUUUCCUAAUCAUAUAUUUUUAUAUUUCAGGGUGCCCUUUUGGUGAAUAUAGCUAGAGGUGGUCUAAUUGAUUAUAAGGCAGUGUUCAACCACCUUGAAUCAGGCCAUCUAGGAGGGUUAGGCACUGAUGUUGCAUGGACUGAGCCAUUUGAUCCUAAUGAUCAAAUUUUGAAAUUUAAGAAUGUUAUCAUGACUCCUCAUGUUGCAGGUGUUACAGAAUAUUCUUAUAGGACCAUGGCUAAGG
rnacentral:lncRNA from 1 species